rnacentral:rRNA from 1 species
UCCGGUGGCGAUAGCGAGGGGGAAACACCCGUUCCCAUUCCGAACACGGAAGUUAAGUCCCUCAGCGCCGAUGGUACUGCCCAAUAUAGGGUGGGAGAGUAGGUCAUUGCCGGAA